rnacentral:rRNA from 1 species
UGGGGAAUAUUGCACAAUGGGCGCAAGCCUGAUGCAGCCAUGCCGCGUGUGUGAAGAAGGCCUUCGGGUUGUAAAGCACUUUCAGCGAGGAGGAAGGUGGUGAACUUAAUACGUUCAUCAAUUGACGUUACUCGCAGAAGAAGCACCGGCUAACUCCGUGCCAGCAGCCGCGGUAAUACGGAGGGUGCAAGCGUUAAUCGGAAUUACUGGGCGUAAAGCGCACGCAGGCGGUUUGUUAAGUCAGAUGUGAAAUCCCCGGGCUCAACCUGGGAACUGCAUUUGAAACUGGCAAGCUAGAGUCUCGUAGAGGGGGGUAGAAUUCCAGGUGUAGCGGUGAAAUGCGUAGAGAUCUGGAGGAAUACCGGUGGCGAAGGCGGCCCCCUGGACGAAGACUGACGCUCAGGUGCGAAAGCGUGGGGCAGCAAACAGGAUUAGAUACCCUGGUAGUCCACGCUGUAAACGAUGUCGAUUUGGAGGUUGUGCCCUUGAGGCGUGGCUUCCGGAGCUAACGCGUUAAAUCGACCGCCUGGGGAGUACGGCCGCAAGGUUAAAACUUAAAUGAAUUG